CUCUCGGUAGAUCUCUUGUUUGGUUUAGCAACUCGAUGUCACGUUGUCUGUUAUCCUUUGUGAUGGACAGCUGGUGGCUCUUUAUACCGUAGGUGUGAACCUGCAAAAAAUGAUAUUGUGCUCAAAGAGAACAGACGAAAUGGACAUGUUUUUAUCAAGUCAGCUUCUUUCUAUGGUGCUACCCAUUCCAGGAUUAGGACCGUAACUACGAGAGGACUUGAAAGUGAGCUGGAGCAUUACCAAAACUAAAAGUGAAUGUGUUUUUGUAGAGCAUACAACCAUCCGUGGAGAUCAGUGGACAAAGGGAUGGACAAUGGGCCGCACUGAAAAUGUUUGCAAAGAAAGUGGCCACUGUAAUCGAUGGGGGCUCAGGGCUGAACCAUUCUGCUCAUCUGAUGAAGGUGCACAUGGAUCAGAUUCAAACUUUGAAGACCGAGAUCGAUUAAUUGAAGGCAGACCAGCAGAAUGAGAAACAUUGUCGGGGGCAGAGAUACGAGUGACAGCUGAUGCAUUGGUCCAGAACCAGGCGGCAUUGGCGGAGAAUCAGGCGGAGAAUGACGCAUUGAAGAGGGCGAGGAAUGAGAUGGAGUAACAAUCCAUACUCGUGCCGGUGUGUCAGGCACACCUGUGAGCUCUGGAACUGCACCUCCGACAGGCGGAGUCAACAUACCUGGCGGGUUCAUCAAGUUGUCUGUUCACCCUGACAUUUCCAUUCCUCUUCUGACAACAUAACCAGGCACAACUGCUCACCAGGCACAACUGCUCACCAGGCACAGCAAGGGCCGUCUGGACCAUCAUGCUGUUCUGCUAUAGCCUGAUAAACAAAUGCAGGGGGGCUUGUAUCUUCAAAAUGCUUUAUUAUCCAAAUGUCAUAGCAUGUACUGUAUUUCUUAAUCAGCAUCUUUCUGCUUUCGUUAAUAAAAUAAUGAUAAAU